GCAGUAGCCACGGGAAUACGGAGGGCGCGAGCGUUACCCGGAUUUACUGGGCGUAAAGGGCGUGUAGGCGGCCUGGGGCGUCCCAUGUGAAAGGCCACGGCUCAACCGUGGAGGAGCGUGGGAUACGCUCAGGCUAGAGGGUGGGAGAGGGUGGUGGAAUUCCCGGAGUAGCGGUGAAAUGCGCAGAUACCGGGAGGAACGCCGAUGGCGAAGGCAGCCACCUGGUCCACUUCUGACGCUGAGGCGCGAAAGCGUGGUGAGCAAACCGGAUUAGAUACCCGAGUAGUCCCUGUCUCUUAUAC
rnacentral:rRNA from 1 species